rnacentral:rRNA from 1 species
CUGGCGGCGUGCUUAACACAUGCAAGUCGAGCGAUGAAGCUCCUCGGGAGUGAAUAGCGGCGGACGGGUGAGUAACACGUGGGUAACCUGCCUCAUAGAGGGGAAUAGCCUUUCGAAAGGAAGAUUAAUACCGCAUAAGAUUGUAGUACCGCAUGGUACAGCAAUUAAAGGAGUAAUCCGCUAUGAGAUGGACCCGCGUCGCAUUAGCUAGUUGGUGAGGUAACGGCUCACCAAGGCGACGAUGCGUAGCCGACCUGAGAGGGUGAUCGGCCACAUUGGGACUGAGACACGGCCCAGACUCCUACGGGAGGCAGCAGUGGGGAAUAUUGCACAAUGGGGGAAACCCUGAUGCAGCAAACCGCCGCGUGAGUGAUGACGGUCUUCGGAUUGUAAAGCUCUGUCUUCAGGGACGAUAAUGACGGUACCUGAGGAGGAAGCCACGGCUAACUACGUGCCAGCCGCAGC